rnacentral:rRNA from 1 species
GAUGAACGCUGGCGGCGUGCCUAAUACAUGCAAGUCGAGCGAACGGCCGAGAAGCUUGCUUUUCUGAUGUUAGCGGCGGACGGGUGAGUAACCCGUGGAUAACCUACCUAUAAGACUGGGAUAACUUCGGGAAACCGGAGCUAACACCGGAUAAUCUUUUGAAACGCAUGGUUCAAAAGUGUAAGACGGUCUUGCUGUCACUUAUUGAUGGAUCCGCGCUGCAUGAGAUAGUUGGUACGGUAACGGCUUACCAUGGCAACGAUGCAUAGCCGACCUGAGAGGGUGAUCGGCCACACUGGAACUGAGACACGGUCCAGACGCCUACGGGAGGCAGCAGUAGGGAAUCUUCCGCAAUGGGCGAAAGCCUGACGGAGCAACGCCGCGUGAGGGAUGAAGGGCGUCGGAGCGUAAAACUCUGUUAUUAGGGAAGAACAUAUGUGUAAGUAACUGUGCACAUCUUGACGGUACCUAAUCAGAAAGCCACGGCUAACUACGUG